AGGUGGAAGUGACCUCACUGCUUCCAGGCUUGACCUAUAAUAACUCCUUGGAAACUUGUACUUUUUCUUCCCCUGUCAGAUGUCUGGACUUAAAGGAUCCAGCAGAGGAUUUGGAGGCUCCAGGGUAUGGCUGAGCCCAAGAUGUCAAAGUCUGGGUCAGUGAAUCACAGUAUGGGAGGCCAGUUGCUGAAUGUCUAUACUAAUUGUUACUUCAGCAAGCAAUCAACGACAGUUCUAGGAGUUAACAGCAGCUUCCUGAGCCAGAACAGACCGAGAGAGACUCCUGGGGAGCUUUGAAAAAAAGAAAUUUAUUUCUCAUGGUUCUGGAAGCUGGGAAGUCCAAGAUCAAGGAAGCAGCAAAUUCAAUGUCUGGCCAGAGUCCCGCCUCCUCAUAGAUUCAUGGAUAUUCUUCUUGCUGUUUUCUCACAUGGUGGAAGAAGCAAGGCAGCUUCUGGGGUCACUUUUAUAAGGGCACUCAUGCAAUUAUGCAGGCUCUGUCUUCAUGUCCAAAUCAUCUCCCAAAAGACCCCAUCUCCUAACAAAUGAAUGCUGGGGUGACACAGACAUUCUGACCACAGCAGGAUUUGAAUCUAGCCUGCUGUAACCCAAAGCCUGUGUUACUAAGAACUUUGCUAUAUGGCAUGGGUCUUUCUGAGCCCUACCUGCCCUACAUCCUCUUCUAUAUCAAAAAUUUCACUUUUUUUUUUCAAAUAUUUUAUUUUUUGUAGAGAUGAGGAGGUCUUGAACUCCUGCCCUCAAAUGAUUCUCCUGCCUCGGCCUCCCAACGUGCUGGGAUUACAGACGUGAGCCACCUUGCCCAGCCAAAAAUUUUCAUUGUUUCUAACCUGGAUUCCUCUUCAAACCCUUCUAGGCAAUGUUUAUCCCACUGCAAGGAUGAGUUGCAUUUGCAACAUUUCUGAAUGUAAUUAUAAGUUAUUUCCAUAAUGGCUGAAUAGUCUGAAAAAAAGUUUUUUUUGCUGUGUGCUAUGUAGGCACAUUGAAUAAUAUUUAAACAAUAAAGGUUACCUCUUAUGUA